UAAUCCUUAGGACAAGGAAAAAACCCAACUGAAAAAUGGGCAAGAGACCUAAGUAGACAUUUCUCCAAAGAAGACAUACAGAUGGCCAACAGGCACAUGAAAAGAUGCUCAGCACUGCUAAUUAUUAGAGAAAUGUGAAUCAAAACUACAAUAAGGCGACUUCCCUGGUGGCGCAGUGGUUAAGAAUCCGCCUGCCAAUGCAGGGACAUGGGUUUGAGCCCGGAUCAGGGAAGAUCCCACAUGCCGUGGAGCAACUAAGCCCAUGUGCCACAACUACUGAGCCUGCGCUCUACAGCCCGCGAGCCACAACUACUGAGCUUAGAAGAUUUUAUUUGGAUUUCCCCAGGCCCUGAGCACACAUUCCUUUCAUGGGUCUUUGCGGAAGGAAUCUUAUUUUGAACAUCUUUAUAUUCCCCAAAACACCUGACAUGGUGCUUAUCCACUUCAGUAGAGCGUCUGCUAUGAAAGCUGAGCUAGCGGUGUUCAUCUGAUAAUGUCCAGAAAAUGAUGACUGCAAUACUUCUCCAGUAAUUUAUUCUUGCAAACAUUAUUUCCUCACAUGCCACCGUGUGCCAGACAGGGCUCUUUCAUCAGCUAUUCAAAGGCAAGUACUGGCUUACAGAUAAAAAGGAGGAAUGCUGAAACCAGUUUUCCCGGGAUUGAGGCCCAGCUGUACCACCUCUUAGAAGUGUGACCUGGGGCAAGACGUUAUUUCCCUGGUCAGGGACUGAACGCCGGCCAAGGCAGUGAAAGCACCAAGUCUUAACCACUGGACGGCCAGGGAAUUCCCCAAAACUUGAUUAUCUUAACUGCACUUCACCUUCCAGUCUGAGCCAGAAAACAAUACUGGCUAGUUCACUUAAUUCUUUUAAAUCACCUGUAUAUUGAAAUUUUAAAAGAAAACCAAAGCAAAAUACUAACUGGUUUAGGUUGCUGACCUUUAGAUUAGUUUAGAUCGCAUUGAACUUUAACCAGUUUCCUUUUUGGUUAUGAGAAAAGAAUUCAUUCUUCAUGUACUCUUUUCAAUUUAAAAAUUAUUUCUGGGACUUCCCUGGUGGUGCAGUGGUUAAGAAUCCACCUGCCAAUGCAGGGGACACGGGUUUGAGCCCUGGUCCGGGAAGAUCCCACAUGCUGUGGAGCGACUAAGCCCGUGCACUACAACUACUGAAGCCCGCACGCCUAGAGCCUGUGCUCCGCAACAGGAGAAGCCACCGCAGCGAGAAGCCUGCGCACCACAACGAAGAGUACCCCUGCUCACCACAGCUAGAGAGAGCCCACGCACGGUAACGAAGACCAAACGCAGCAAAAAAAAAAAAAAAAAAAAAAAAAAAAAAUAGCACCCAUAUUAAAUGAAGUGUAGGUUUAAAUAAAUAAAUAAAUAAAAUAAAAAUUAUUUCUGAUUUCCCUCCAUGUUUAGGACACAAAUUUCCAGGAUUCAAAGACAGAACUUUAAAAAGUGUUUGUCAGAGCACUUUCCCCUCCUUAUACCUCAUUUAUAAGUCAGAUAGAUUAGCAAUUAUCAAGUUCAGCUCUCAAUUCAACAUCUUAAGUACCAGAUUCCUAUCUAUUAAACAAAAAUAUUUGACUACUCUUAGGCAAAACCAAAAGAAAAAACAUAGAAAAAAACCAAAACAAAUUCAAAACAAAACCAACCCCCCCAAACAAUAACAACAACAAAACCCCCCCAGAAACCAAAAAAAUCCAAAUCAAAGAAGAAAAACACAAAACCCAAAAAACAGAACACAUUGCAUUUUCUGAGAAAGGUUUAAAAUAAUUCUUACAGUUACCUACAGGGGAGAAUCCUUCCUUGUCUCUUCCAGCUUCUGAUGUUUGCUGGCAAUCCUUGGCAUUCCUUGGUUUUCUCGACGAAAAAUUAAUUAGUCGAUCUAAGAAAGAAACAGAAAAUUUUAUUUGAGCCAAAUUUGAGGAUUAUAACCGGGGAGAAGCAUCUCAGAAAGCUCUGAGAACUGUUCCGCCCGUUAGAAGUAAAGACACUGUUACCUAAGUUUUUUUGAGACAGAGCGCUGUACAUCAAAUGACCUAUUAUUGACAGUUUACAUAAUCCGGAUCUGCAAGUACAAGGUGGUGGGUCAUGUGACCCCUUACAAGCUCAAGAAGGAAUGUUAUAUUUUAAGGAGUUGUCUUGGUGCUGGGAGAAUGUUGCUCUUUAUGGUUGAGCAGCAUCCUGCUGAUGCGGAAGGUUUGGUCCAUGCAUAAUGUAGACACACAAUGCACAGUGGCGGGAGAGAGGAGGCCAAAGGGCAGAGAAGAAUUUUUUACGUUUAAAUUUUUCUUGUCUGGCCAUAAACUAUGAAUUUUACUUCACAGUUUGUAGCUGCAUCACACCAAUAUCUGCCUUCACUGUCACAUGACUGUUUUCUUCUUGUGCAUCUCUCUCCUUUUCCUAUAAGGAUGCCACUCUGCUCCUGUAUGAUUUCAUGUUAAUUACAUCAACCACCACCCCAUAUCCAAAUUUGUUCACAUUCUAAAGUACGGGAGUUUAGGACUAAGUUCAACAUAUCUCCCUGGGGGGACACAAUUCAACCCACACGAGUAUUCUUGGAACUUUUAAGUUGUGUGAGUUUUUGUAGUAGGAAUUCACUGCGCUUUAGGCAUUAUGUAUCCCUUAAAUCUUGUUACCCUUUUACAACUAAGAAAAUAGUUAAUUUGGUCAGUUUUAUCUGAGAAAGUAAACUUCUGACGACUUGCUAACAACAGAGACUGAAAUACAAUACCUGGAAUUUUUACUAGGAUAGGGGAUAGUAAAUGACUAGGUGCCUUUAAGAUUACUUUUCAAGAGAGACAUCAACAAACUUGGAGAGAGAGGUGAAAAAUUUCAAACUAGCCCUUACAAUCUUAACAAGACCUUCAGCUGUUCAGAGAUAUCCUCUCCCUCUCACACUCUUGUUUCAUUCUCUCCCCACUCACUCCAUUUUCCCCCCUCCAGGUAUGACCGUUCUUGGUAAGGAUGCUAUUCACAUUACUAUAAUUUUGUAGAUUUAAACAAUUGAGGUACAAUUACAUACAGCAAAAUGAGAAGGGCAAGCAAACUUUUGCUCUUUCUGAAAGUUAGUAGGCUUCAUAAUUUUGUCUCUAUUUCAUUUUUUCUACAUUCAUUUGCUUUUCCUCCUAGCAUGCUUAGCCUUACAGCUGUCUUUUAUUUACAAAUUCUCUCAAGUGCUGUGUUCUACCUGGGAGUUUCUCCCAACUGUAAUGGCCUUAGCUGGCACACACCUCUCCUUCAGAACUCAGCGUCUUCUUCGAAACCUUCUCCCAACACCCUUGGGUUUCUGAGUUCCUUUGCCACAAUGUAUGUGAUUCUUUUUAUUUUUUCCCUGUUCAAUUACUAGUCUUAACCAGACUGAGUUCUUCCUCUUAAGACAAAGGUGGGGGGUGUGAUGUACCUUGUCUGUCUUCGCAUUCCAAGUGUGUAGCCCAAAGCCUGACACAUAGUGCGGGCUCAAUAAACGUUUAUUGUCAGUAAGUGACAAUUAACACGCAUAUAUGUACUUCAUAGUUUUCCCAGCGCGUUCACACGAUCUUAUUUGAUCCCUACUACAACCUUAUAAAAUAGUAAUUAUCA